rnacentral:rRNA from 1 species
UACGGAGGUGGCAAGCGUUGUUCGGAAUUACUGGGCGUAAAGGGCGCGUAGGCGGCAAGGCAAGUCAGGUGUGAAAGCCCCGAGCUUAACUCGGGAAUUGCAUCUGAAACUGCUGUGCUUGAGUUCUGGAGGGGGUAGUGGAAUUCCCAGUGUAGCGGUGAAAUGCGCAGAUAUCAGGAGGAACACCAAUUGCGAAGGCAGCUCGCUGGGACGUUAACUGACGCUGGAGACGCGAAAGCGUGGGGAGCAAACAGG